UUACGGCCACAUCACGUUGAAACACCGGUUCUCGUACGAUCACCGAAGUUAAGCAACGUCAAGCCUAGUAAGUACUGAGAUGGUAACCAUUUGAGAAUACCAGGUGCUGUAA